CCUACGGGGGGCAGCAGUGAGGAAUAUUGGUCAAUGGGCGAGAGCCUGAACCAGCCAAGUCGCGUGCAGGAAGAAUGUCCUAUGGAUUGUAAACUGCUUUUGCAGGGGAAUAAAGUGAGCCACGUGUGGUUUUUUGUAUGUACUCUGCGAAUAAGGAUCGGCUAACUCCGUGCCAGCAGCCGCGGUAAUACGGAGGAUCCGAGCGUUAUCCGGAUUUAUUGGGUUUAAAGGGUGCGUAGGCGGGAUAAUAAGUCAGUGGUGAAAGUUUGCAGCUUAACUGUAAAAUUGCCGUUGAAACUGUUAUUCUUGAGAGUAGAUAAGGUAGGCGGAAUGUGUUGUGUAGCGGUGAAAUGCAUAGAUAUAACACAGAACCCCGAUUGCGAAGGCAGCUUACCGGGCUACAUCUGACGCUGAUGCACGAAAGCGUGGGGAUCAAACAGGAUUAGAUACCCUAGUAGUC
rnacentral:rRNA from 1 species